AGUGAACGCUGGCGGUAGGCCUAACACAUGCAAGUCGAACGGCAGCACAGUAAGAGCUUGCUCUUACGGGUGGCGAGUGGCGGACGGGUGAGGAAUACAUCGGAAUCUACUUUUUCGUGGGGGAUAACGUAGGGAAACUUACGCUAAUACCGCAUACGACCUACGGGUGAAAGCAGGGGAUCUUCUGACCUUGCGCGAUUGAAUGAGCCGAUGUUGGAUUAGCUAGUUGGCGGGGUAAAGGCCCACCAAGGCGACGAUCCGUAGCCGGUCUGAGAGGAUGGUCAGCCACACUGGAACUGAGACACGGUCAAGACUCCUACGGGAGGCAGCAGUGGGGAAUAUUGGACAAUGGGCGCAAGCCUGAUCCAGCCAUACCGCGUGGGUGAAGAAGGCCUUCGGGUUGUAAAGCCCUUUUGUUGGGAAAGAAAAGCAGCAGGUUAAUACCCCGCUGUUCUGACGGUACCCAAUGAAUAAGCACCGGCUAACUUCGUG
rnacentral:rRNA from 1 species